UUGGCCUGAAGUCAAGCAANAAAACCCACUGAAUUUAAGCAUAUAANUGAGUGGAGGAUGAGAAACUAAACAGGAUUCCUUUA
rnacentral:rRNA from 1 species